CUUGAAGUCCACGCUGCCAGGCCCCCCUGGGGCAGUUAACACAAUGAAUGAUUUACUCAUUGCCAGUUCAUCUAUAUCAAAUUACAGGUUUUCUUGAGUCUCAACAUUGACUCAUUUUUUUCCUGCAGUUAAUGUGCUUGUGGAGUUGUUCUUUUGAAGGGAUGCCGGUUCUCCUUCUCAAUGCAGGAAUGAUCAUUUAUAGGUAAGGAGUAAAAAUGUGAAGACUUCUGCAAAUAUGAGGCUGGGUCAAACUGGUACCCCACCACCACCAUUCUCCCUACCUACCCAUCCAGAUCUAGGAACUUUAGAGGUUCUCUUUUCCUGCUGGAAUAUUGGAAACACAUCUACAAAGUACUACAUGAGUAGAAUGUUGGAAUUCUUAAAGAAAAGCGCUCACCACCUGAAAGGGAUAUAAGGUGACCAAGGGUCAAACUUCAGUGACCUUCAGAGGCCACCCUGCCAAUGAAGGAACCCGCUGUGUUACUGCAACCUAAUGCCAGUAUGGACUCAUGCAGCAAAAUGACAAAAAUCACUGAAGGGGAAACGGGCAUCUCAGCAAGUGAAAGAUAUAUUGGCUGGUCCUCUAUUAUCACCCCUCAUUUGUUUUUUGCUUAGUAGAAGAUUUCCUGAUUUGAAGAGACAGGUUUAUUUUGGAGACUGUGAAACACAAAUGCACAAAACAAAAGGCAUAUCUGGCAGCCUAAGAAGCAGUUUGCAGUUAAAAACACAAUGAUAUAGACCAAAUUUAUCUCUCAUUCCCUGAACCAGCAGCAGAAGCAGCCAGUGCACAUGUCUGGCAAGAUCUAAGGGAAGAAAAUCUGAACCAGAAAGAAUGUGGCUGGCUUGAGGUCUGACGCAAAAGAAAAAACUUAUAAAUUUCCUCAUAGAACUCAUAUUAAAAUGGGAGUUUGGAUUCAAGCAACUAAACACUGAAAUUAAAAUUCUUAUAUGGGGUAUUUGUAGUUUCCAAUUAUAUCUUUAUGAUAUUUUCUCUGUGGAAGUUGAUUGCUGUUCAUUAUAAUAAAUUACUUGAAUUGUCUGUAUCUUUACUUAACCAUUUCUUUUCAUGUCUUUGCUUUCUUUUGUUCUUUUUAAAAGUAGAAAAUGCUCAGUUGCUAAAUAAUGAAGACUUAAUUUUUUGUUUCUCCCAAAUUUUACCUUACUCAUGAUCAUUAAUAAUUUUCAGAAGGGUUCUGAACCCUUCUCUUUUCUUGUGAACUCUAGAAAAAUGCUAGCUCAGUAUGCAUAGUACUCCAUCCUUAACCAGCUAUGUUAUUGCUUUGAACCCUGUUCUCCAACUUACUCAAGAAACUGCAGUUAAAUAUUAUUGGGAUCCUUUUUUUUUCUAUAACAAACACGUUUCUAUGUAUUUUAUGGAUAAUUAAAUAAAACUUGAACUCUGGGCUUAAGGUUUUUCUCACUGACUUGUCAUAGGAAAUACAAAAGUAACAGAAAUGAAUUUGUGGCUUAAAAGCAUCUUUUAGAGGGCCAGGGAUUUAGCUCAGUGGUGCUGUCCACUGCCUCACAAGCGAAAGGUCCCGAGUUUGAUCCGGUACCAAAAAAAAGGCUUCUGUGACCUACAUUUUUUGAGACAAUGAAAGUAAGGAGUCAAGAUCUUACAUGAUAAAGUGAAAGACAUCACUACCAGGAAAGCCAGUUAUGUGAAACAACCGUGUGAACCAUGUAAAAGCUGGAGAGGGGUGUCUUGAGAACCAGGGCUCAGUUUUGUCACAAGGGUUAGGUCAAUAGAAUACCAGUGCCACAUGCCUGGCAGAGUUCUUGCCACAUAGAUGUUAGUUGCUCCCUGGAUUAACCCCAGCUCUUGCUUUAUGGAUUCCUUGCUGACAUACCAUCAUAUUUAUCAGUGCUCUUACCUGUUUCUUUCCUUUGUCAAGGUUGUCAUCCACCUGGCCCUGCCUACGCAGCUGCAGCUAAAGGGCAGGUUCUCAGAUCAUAUGCCUCUCCCCUACUUUAUUUCCUUUUUUAAAAAAUCACCAUUUGGGACUUAGAGUUGGCUACUCAGAUUAAAAAAGUGUCUAAUUUAAUUUGGAUCAUUGAACCUUCAUUUCACUUUGGCUCGUUCAACUUAUUGAAUCAGACCAAAUUCUCAUAGUCCCUCAGGAAAUACCAUCUUUUACCCACAAGUUGGCAAAGGACUCCCAUUUUCAAAGAGAUAUUCAACCCAAUAACCAGAGGAGGUCCUGUGGCAGUCAAGAUUGGUCAAGGAAACAUAGGUCACUAUAAUCAUGACUCAGCCCUGGUUAUUAUCAUUGGGACAUAAUUUCACCUCUCUGCUAUUUCUAGCCAAUCUAUUUCUUAUCUCUCUUCUGCUUUUUCCUUUAUAUUUCAGCAAAAAUUCUAAGGUCUGUGAUCCAUUUUCAUGUUCGCCAAGAUCACAUUGGCACAGAAAUUUUUCUGCAGCCUUCCCUUGAGGACAACAUCACACUGAAACUUUCUGACCUUAAGCUAAAGGCUGUGCAAGCCUCUUAGCUACUUGUCUUCUGAUCAGCUUCUACUCCCACCUCCUCUUUUACUCAUUCAUUUCUUUCUUCCUUUCCUUAACACAGGUACUCCAUAGUUCUUUCCCCAUCUCUCUCCAGCUUUCUUUCAUCUGACCCUGAAAGACAAAAUGCUGAUAAGCUCCCUUCCCUGCUUCAUUAAAAAAUUGCCAUUAAAAUUUAUAGCUGGUUUAGGCUGGCCAUCACUGAUCUUCUUGAUUUAGUUACCGCCAAGAAAUGCUUUAUGAUUAUCCACUGACUUAUUUAUAACAAACAUAACAAAGUCCUUGGUGUUAGCAGCCUGUAGAGAAAUUAUUUGUUUUGAAAAUAGAGUGGAUACUUAAAGUUCUCUGUGAAGAAUGGGAGUGUUUGGGUUUGUUGUACUUGCAUAUUUUAUAUAGAAAGGUAAAGUCUCCAAGCCUCAAUAUGUAAUAACAUCAAAUCAUUUUGUUGCUGUGUAGAAAAUGUGUGUUCUAAGGUUGCACAGAAAAUUUCCUAAUACUUCUUAAGCACUGGUUUCAGUAGGCCACUGGUGAGGCUGGUAAGUGAAAACAAAGUGUACUGGUGAGGAUUAAAUGAUUCAUUGGCGGAAACUGUUUGAACAUCUAAAUGUGAUGAAGUUAGUUGAUUGUAGAAGAGUAAUUUAGAAGCUAAUGUAAUAACCACCUGUCUUGAGUCUGCUAUUUGAAGGAUGGUCAGAGAAGGAAUGAAUGCAGUGUUUGAAAUGUCUCAAUAGUGUUGAGUGUUCUGAUAUGUGUGAAAGUGAUCUGUUCUCCUUGGCACUCUGUCAAUCACUACAUGAGUUUAAGGUGUUCUGCAGUAUCCAAAGUCUUUUAACAGAUGCCUUUUGUCCUGAGAAAAACAGUGCAAUCACAUAGAACAGGCCAAUAAGAACAGUUGUAAUGCUUGUUUCCAAGGAGAAAUUGUGGCUGUAUCUUCUGGAAGUAAACACCAACAUUAUGGUGCCAGUGAUUGCUUUAGCACUUCACUGUCACAGAAGAAAUCUGAUGUCCACAGAAUGGUCAUAAUAUUCUGCCUUCUGUGCUUAGGAUCUGGCAGUAAAGACCAAGUGUCCAUACCUGUACUACUAUUGAUUACUGUAUAUUCCUUUGCUGAAGGCAGUGCUAUCUUAUGGGGUGUUGCAGAUAUAGAAGAGCUUGGUGGUGAAGGUGGAAGAAUAAAGACUGGUUUCUGCUGGUUCAAGUGGACUUUACCUAAUAAAUAUGGGAGCCAAGAGUAGAAGAACCAAUCACAUCAGGGAAAGCCUUCAAUAGCAGUUUUAAUGAGGUGCCUGGAUAAUUCAGGAAGUGUGGCUAGAUAAACCAAGUUCAAGUGAGGGUCCCACGUGACCCAAUCAAUUUCCACAUGAUAAUCCACAGAAAGCACUGUGUCAAAAUCACAACAAUGACAACUGAAACCUAAUCUUUAUCUCUUAAAAAUCAGCAAGGUAGAUUCGGUUUAUAAUCCACCAUAAAACACCUCUCAAACUCCUUUUGGUUCCUUUCCAACUUCUCCGACUCCAAAGCUGCUCCAGAAACAUUCACAUCCCAAAUAUCAAAAUGCUUUUUCACAUACCAUGUGGCACAUGUGAGCUUUCAUCACUUAUGCACACCUUCAGCUCUUAGUUUGCAGGCUCUACUCAGCCUCUCUUGUUUUGCUUUGCUUUCUCUUGUCCUUUGUUGUUUAAUGUGGUUCUAGCAUUUAAAAAAAGAUUAGGAACUAGUUUGGUAAAAUUCUCUUAGAAGCUAAGACAAGGGCAAGUGAAGAGUCUGAGGUAAAUACAAAGUUCUCUCAUUAGCUGGGGUGGAAACAGCAAUCUCAAACCAUUGCUGUGUUAAAAUAUCUGGUCCUAUCCCAACCUACAGUAAGAGCUAACAUUUAUUAGGAGUCAACAAAGUUCACGCAUUUUGUUGAGUAUUUUUAUAUAAUUAUGACAUGAUAAUUCUAAUUUAUCUUACAAAUUUGUAACAUCACUGUAAAAAUAAGGAGACAGUAGUUCAGAACGACUGAAUAACUUGCCAAGGCCACAUCGCAGGUUAAUAACAGAAUUAGGAUUUCCGAACCUCAGAAACCCUGCAAACACAGUGUACCUCAGUUCAUGAACACUAGUUUGCAAACAAUUUGGUUUACAAACAGAAACUUUUGGAAAAAUUUUGUUUUUGUUUGCAAACUCUACAUUGGGUGGCAAACAUGCCCGCAGUCGUAUUUCCCACACAAACACCAUCAUGGCCAUCAUUUCCAAAAUCAUAGAAAAAAAAUUAAGUUCGUGAAUCAAGAUACCACUGUAUCAUAUUCUUAAUCAUUAUAAACUCUAUGAAUUAGCAUCUCUCAAUGGCUGAGAUUGUACUGAGAUUAAAGCAAUUACUGAAACAUUGAUGCUGUUUGAAUAUAAGAAAUAUAAUUUAAGAAAUAUAAUUUAAUUCCAUCCUUUUUUUGAGGUAAGUGUAUUAUUUUGGACCCAACUCUGUAUUAACAAGAUCUGUAUUAGCAAAGGUUAGACACUUGUCUACAAAUUAGUACUGAAAUGUCCCAAUAUAAAUGCUUGUGAUUUGGAAGAGAAAUUCAAAAUUUAAAACUUCUCUUAAAAUUUUUUUUAACUGUUUCCUAUCCUCUGCCCAAAUGAUCAGCAGGAAUUCUAUAGCCCAGGGUUAAAAUUCUGAAUUUGUUACCCCUGAGUGGUUCACACCUCUCCACUCUGCCUCUUCUUGGAAACUGGAGGAAGGUUUUAGGAAGGAGGGGGAUUAAAGAGCUCAUGAGCACGUGGCAGUGAUGGAGCAUGGACCAAACCAGUCCACCAGUUUCUCUGGACAAUAUGCCACAUCCAACAGGAAUUAUUCAUUACAUUUCUACUUUUUAAAAUAAAUUUUCCCUUUGGUAUAAAUGUUUUCUUGCUGUUUUUGUACCCUGAUCAAAAGUGAAGUGCUAUUUCUCUAAUGACAUUCAUCAUUACUCCUGGGAAGUUAAGCCUUAAGUUGACACUUUCCACUUUUCUCUUUUUGGCAGAUGCCUUCAACCAGUACAUGCUUGAGUCAGGAACUUUCCUCUUUUAGCUGUGCUAUGUCACUACAUUGGUAGUGAGUCUCAAGCCAACUCCUUUGGCUGCUGUUUGGUGAUCUUUCUAUUGAGAUUAGAGUUUGAGUUGUUUUUAUAAAGGACAUGAAACAGAGAGGGGAAGGUGAGGCUGAACAUAGAGCUCUGACCUUAUAUUUGGAGGCCUUGGCCUUCUAGGUUCUAACAAACAUCACAGCUUACAAAAAAUCAUUCUAAGGCUCCCAAACAAUUUCUUGACUCUGUUAUAGAUGGAGUUUAUGGAAUUAUUGUAAGAGAUCUGCACAUCCCUAUGUAAAGGGAAUAAAUAAUAUAUCUUACACAUAUAUGUGCCAUUCAUUUCACACAUGAAAAUAGGUAAUGUUGUAAUCAAUACGAUACCAAUUGUUUUCCUUACACUAAUACAAUUAAAUUUAUUUGAUAGUAUGUAUUUACUUAGAGAUUCUACUACUGUCACAAGAAAUUUAUAAACUCUCACAUAAGAAAGGAAUCCCCCCCCCCAACCCGGUACCAGGGAUUGAACUCAGGACCUUGCACUUGCAAGGUAGGCUCAGUACCACUGAGCUACAUCCCUGGCCCCAGGAAUUCUCCUUUUUAAAGAGUUUGGAAUCACUAAUCUAAAUAAUGGCGGCCCCCGCUGGGACUAGCAAAAUAGAAAGAAAUAUAAAAGAAGUCAAAAAUACAAAGGCACUGCUAAAAAAAAGCAAGAAGUCUCUGCCCAAAGCUAUCAAUUUCUGUAGGGAAAUUAGCUGACACAUCCUUGCUUUACCUUGGAGCUCCCAAAGGCUGCAGCUAGAUUUAGCAUGGGUGUUAGAGCACCGUGUGUCAGCAAACUCACAGGAAGAACCCAUCAUUUCUACUGAUAUUCUGUCUAAGCUUCAGAAUAGCAUAGCAUUCAGGUGCCUGCUUGUAUCUUAAUGUUUCUGACAUUUUCCUGAGGAGAAAUAAUAGAUUAUGAGUCAAUGUGCAAAGGGAUAAAUGAAGAGCUCUCUCCAAUUGUGAAAAUCCUGCUUCAAGUUGUUGAUCAAAAGGUUCAUCCAGAGAGCACAGCAGGUAAGUGAUUUUGCUGGUUUUUACCUGCCCCAAGUCCAUCUCCCCUUCUUCUGGUAACAGAAUCUUAAUUUUCCUUCAGAAAAUUGUCCGUCUCCACUGCUGAGCACAUAGUCCAGAAAUAGUCCCAAGAUUGCCCCUGGAAUUAAUCAGGAGGCAAAUUUCUUCAGAUGAGAUUUUGAAACUAGUUAGAAGUUAGUGCUACUUCAGGCCACUUUUGCUAUCAUUGAGGAGAGCUUGUGUAAGAAUAAAGCAACACAGAAUAGCUGGUCAGCAAAUGGGCAGAGGGAGAGGGAGAGGAAGAAGGAGAAGGAGAGAGAAUAUCUCCAAAAACAUUAGACUAUCUGAUCUGAAUAUUGGUGAUUUAGAUUUUUAGACAAGUCUCCUCUGUUGCUUACAUGUUUGACUUAGGGUAUUGUCACUGGCAUGUAAUGAAACCCAAGUAAUACAGAGUUGCCUUUUUUUAACCUUUGGUGAAAUUUGCCAUCUUCUUUGUGCAUUCCAGUUGCAAGGAAACUCCACUCUGCCAUGUCAGUACUCUUCGUUAGUCCACUAUGCUCCCUCUCUGUGGGGAGCAGGACUUUUUUAUGCAGGUCCAAGGAAAGGUGGGGGGAAUAAGAGACUUUGUAGUCUUCCUGGGGAACUUGGCUCUCUGAUGGCGCUGAAAAGACAUCUCAGGCCAGAAUGUUCCAAAAUGCAAACUGCAGCUUUCUUUCCAAAUGGCAACAGUGAAUGAUGGAUUGCAGUACACAAAAGGUUGCCAAUUUUUGAUAGAGCAGCCCAGUUGCUCAGCUGGGGACCCUGCUAAGAAGGAGGACUAUAAUAGUGUUGUUUUAUGGAGAUGGGAUAUUUUGAUGCUGACCCUUUGAUUUUGCUGCUAUUACUUUUUUACUAGUUCUUUUGUCAUUCUUGAUUCCCCUGCUGUGUUCCUUUCCAUUAUCUCUUUUCUUUGUCUGAAAUUGAACCCACAGAAUGAGCCUGUAAUCAGAGGACAUGAGAAUCCCUAAAUUGCUUUCAUUUUGAUUUUCUACUUUAUUAAUAUUCAGAAUAUGGAACAUAAAGGAGGCAUUUUGAAUCACUGUCUCUUCAACUUGGUCAUGCUACUAUGUAAUCCAUUGCAUGGAAAAUUUGAAUAUGCAUCAUAGCAUUUGAACCUGACAUUUCUAGAUCUAUUUGUAGUACAUUAUGUAGGAAAUUACUUCAGUCUUACUAGUACUGGGGAAAACUUCAUCAUGCAUUAUUCCACCAUCCUGAAAAAAGAAGCAAGUGGGAAGAUUUGUAUAUAAGGACAAUACAAGAACAGCAAUAUUCCAACCUAUUUAUAAAGAUUAAACUAACUCCCUCAGCAUAAUUAGACUUGACAGAUCCUCAAUUUUUGUGUUUUCUUGUGCUGUUAACAAAUAACCAAAUAAGGUCAUUGUUCUUCAGUGAUCUUUGCAUAGGAGUAAGAAAAAUUCAGAAAUUAAGUAUUUUAUAACAAAAUUAAAUUUUCCCUGGCUUAUGUAGGAGCUUCCGGAAAAGUUUUAAAAUAACAUUUCGAGUGUACUGAGCACUUUCUGUGAGCCAAACAUUUUGCAUAUGUUACCUUAUUUGAUCUGAGUACCUGGGACUAGAACAAUUAGUCUCCUUAUUUUAUAAGUGAAGAAACUGAGGGCUAGAGGGGCCAAGCAACCUGUUCAGAGCCAAGUGAAAGUUUCUAUGUCAAUCCCGAGGCCAAGCUUUCAGCAAUUACAGAAAGGAUAGGAAGAAGGGAGGUUGAAUUCUUGUUCUGUUAGCUCAUGGAUUCUUAAGGACUCCUAAAGUGAGGGGUUGGUGUGGGAGAGAACAAGGCAAAGCCAUUUCCUGUGUUGUUGGUUUCAGGCCUUUCAGGGGCAACAGAUCAGGAGAAGAUAAAUAAAGAUGGAUGGGGCAGGGGUGGUGGUGGUGGUAGUGGUGGCUGCUAGAAAUAUCUGUAGCAAUUUGCAAAGUUAAUUGUGGCAUCUUUUCUUACCGAUAGCUUGACAAUAGCUAGUGCCUAAGCCAUUUUGGCUUCCUAUCCAACUCCCUCAUGUCCCACACUCCUUUAUGGAGCUUAUUCUUUCUCCCAUUUCCAGACCUUUUUACAUUUUCUCCUACCCAGCAUACUUUUCUAUCCUUUUGCUUAGCCUUCAAGUCUAAUUUUGAAUGGUUUUUCAUCAUGAAGCUUUUGUUUGGUUGUUUGUUUUUGAGGGAGGGCCUCCUCACUAUGUAGUUCAGGCUGACCUUGAGUUCACUACAUAAUCCAGGCUGCCAUCCAACUCACAGUGAUCCUCCUGCCUCAGCCUCCCAAGUGCUGGGAUUACAGGUGUGUGCUAUGCC
rnacentral:lncRNA from 1 species